rnacentral:misc_RNA from 1 species
UAAAAGUCGUAACAAUUCCGUAGGUGAACCUGCGGAGGAUCAUUAAUAAAUUUUUUUCGAAAUAAAAAAAUAAUAAUCAUCCUACCCUUGUGAAUUUGUUUGUUGAAUAAUUUUAAAUUAUUAUUGUCUAUCCAAGUUGGAAAGUGUAAAGACUCGAAGACUUGGAGCGCAUAAAUAAGUUUAAAGACUUUUUUCUAAAAUAAACUUUUGUAUUCAUUGUCUAAAUAAUUUUACAAUUAUAAAAACAACUUUUGACAAUGGAUCUCUUGGUCUCGCAACGAUGAAGAACGCAGCAAAAUGCGAUAAGUAUGUGAAUUGCAGAAUACGUGAAUCAUCGAAUCUUCGAACGCAUAUUGCACUUUUUAGUUUACUAAAAAAGUAGUCUUUUGAGUAUCAGUAAAAUAUUCUCAUAAAAUUUUUAUUUUAUGGUUAUGAGUGUUUUACAACGAUAACAAGUUGUUCACUUUAAAUUGAAUUUUUUGAAGAAAUUCUUAAUUCAAAUUAAAUUUGGAUAAAUUUCCCGUAAAAGGAAUACUAUACAAGUUUAAUAAGAAUUUGGAUUCUUUUAUAAAAGGAAAUUUAUUAAAUAACUUGAUCUCAAAUCAGAUAAGAGUACCCGCUGAACUUAAGCAUAUCAAUAAGCGGAGGAAAAGAAACUAACAAGGAUUCCCUAGUAACGGCGAGUGAAGCGGAAGAGCUCAAAUUUGAAAUCUUAAAGGUUCCCUUACGAAUUGUAGUUUAAGAGUUUUCUGUUGAGGUUUGGUAAAAGUUCUUGGAAUAGACAUCAUAGAGGUGAGAAUCCCGUAUUGACCUUUACUUUCAACUUUGUGAUACACUUCAAAGAGUCGAUUGUUUGGGAAUGCAGUCCAAAUGGUGGUAAAUUUCAUCUAAAGCUAAAUAUUGGCGAGAACGAUACGAACAGUACCGUGAGGGAAAGAUGAAAGAACUUUGAAAGAGAGUUAAACAGUACGUGAAUUGUCAAAAGGAAGCGUUUGACACCAGUGUUGUUUUUCUGAGAAUCAAUUAAAGAACUGUUUAUGCUAAGUUGUUUAGACUUUAUCAGCUAACUGUUUAGUUUUGAGCUUUCUUUAAUGCACUUUCAGUUAACAAUCAACAUCAAUUUCUUUUGCUGUAAAAAGCUUGAGGAAGGUGGCUGAGAUUCGUCUUAAGUGUUUAUAGCUCUUGCCUAUGCAGUCGGAGAGAUUGAGGUUGCAGCGUAGAUCCUUCGGGCUAAAUGCAUUUUGCUAAGUUAUAGCAUUUAUAGACACUUGUUGACUAUGAUUUGUCUUGUAGCUUACUCGCUUAUGUUAUUUACCUACGCUUAGAUGUUGA